rnacentral:rRNA from 1 species
UGGGGAAUUGUUCGCAAUGGGCGCAAGCCUGACGACGCAACGCCGCGUGUGUGAAGAAGGCCUUCGGGUUGUAAAGCACUUUCGGCCGGAACGAAAUCGCGCGGAUUAAUAACUCGCGUGGAUGACGGUACCGGAAGAAGAAGCACCGGCUAACUACGUGCCAGCAGCCGCGGUAAUACGUAGGGUGCGAGCGUUAAUCGGAAUUACUGGGCGUAAAGGGUGCGCAGGCGGCCCCGCAUGUCAGGCGUGAAAUCCCCGGGCUUAACCUGGGAAUGGCGCUUGAAACUACGGGGCUGGAGUAUGGCAGAGGGAGGUGGAAUUCCACGUGUAGCGGUGAAAUGCGUAGAGAUGUGGAGGAACACCGAUGGCGAAGGCAGCCUCCUGGGCCAAUACUGACGCUCAUGCACGAAAGCGUGGGGAGCAAACAGGAUUAGAUACCCCAGUAGUCCCUGAGCGGGCUGGCAAGGCGCAU